AGGAGAGUUUGAUCCUGGCUCAGAACGAACGCUGGCAGCGUGGAUUAGGCAUGCAAGUCGUACGGGGGCCUGGCGGAUAGCAAUAUUAGCCAGGCCCUAGUGGCGGAAGGGCGAGUAACGCCCGGGCAACCUGCCCUCUUGCUGGGGAUAACGCGGGGAAACCCGUGCUAAUACCGAAUGUGGCGUGGCGCGGCAUCGCGCCGUUGCCAAAGGCGGGGACCGCAAGGCCUGCCGCAAGGGGAGGGGCCCGGGUACCAUCAGCUGGUUGGCGGGGUCACGGCCCACCAAGGCGACGACGGUUAGCUGGUCUGAGAGGACGACCAGCCGCACUGGGACUGAGAUACUGCCCAGACUCCUACGGGAGGCUGCAGUCGAGGAUCAUUCGCAAUGGGCGCAAGCCUGACGAUGCGACGCUGCGUGGAGGAUGAAGGGCUUCGGCUCGUAAACUCCUGUCAUGGGGGAAAAAGGUCCCCAUUGUCAACAACGAUGGGGCUCGAUGGUACUCCAAGAGGAAGCCACGGCUAACUCUGUGCCAGCAGCCGCGGUAAUACAGAGGUGGCGAGCGUUGUUCGGAUUUACUGGGCGUAAAGGGCGCGUAGGAGGCCCCGUUAGCCGACUGUGAAAUCUCCGGGCUCAACCCGGAAAGUGCGGUCGGGACUGCGGGGCUGGAGCAGGGGAAGGGAAAGCGGAACUCAGGGUGUAGCGGUGAAAUGCGUUGAUAUCCUGAAGAACACCGGUGGCGAAGGCGGCUUUCUGGAACCUGGCUGACUCUGAGGCGCGAAAGUAGGGGGAGCAAACAGGAUUAGAUACCCUGGUAGUCCCCU
rnacentral:rRNA from 1 species